GGGAACUAGUAAAGUAUUAGAUAAAUGUAGAGAAGGUAAUAGAGAUAUAGAGUCAGCUCCUGUGACCGGGGAGAUAGCCCCAUUAGCAUUCGCGACACUGGUGCAUCUAGUAAGGGUUGACUGAAUAAAGUCAUUAGCAUCAUAUGUCAUAUCAUCGGUGGCCCCGGAGUUAAAUAACCAUCCAUCAUUACUCUUGUCACUAGGAUGCAUAACAAAUACUGAACUAAGGUUACCUAGACUUGGGGUAGUGUCCUCAUCUUUAGAGGAGUCAAUUUGGGGAAUUAAGGAUAGUUGUGGCUCUGCUGCUUUGCCGGUUCGUUUAUUGGCGCUGUCUCCUUCCUUAUUCCUUUUUUCUUGCAGUUUGUAUCACCACUCAGGAUAUCCAUUGAGUUUAAAGCAAUUUUCACGUGUGUUUCAAAUUUCCACGAUAAGAGCACUUUUCAUUCCCACCCAUUCCCUUGGAUUUGUUAAAAUCAUUUUGUUUUCUAGAGCCCAGUGAAGACCGUCCAGUCUUCAUCUCCUUCGUAGCUAAGACUGCUCUAGGGGAAUUGUCGGACUCUGUGGUCAUUACGGCUUGUCGAAGGGCCUCCCGUCGAACAUGUGCAUAAGCUUGUUCAAGUGAGGGAAAAGGAUUCAUCUGCAAAACACUUGCCCUGAUGUUGUCCAACCUGUCAUGAAGGCCAUCCAGGAACGUAUAAACCCGCUCCUCCUGUACCAGCUUGUUAUAGUUCUGGAUGUCCUUGGAGCACACCAUUGAAUUGGGACGGCGAAAGUCGAUUUCACGCCAUAAACCUUGUAAAGCCGUGUAGUAUUUUUCAAUGGAGCCAUCUGCAUGUCUCAACCGCGCCACUCUCCGUCGGAGUUCAUAUACUUGGGAAGUGUCAUUCCCGUCAAAGAAUGUGGUAGUAAUUGCAUCCCAGACCUCUUUCGCAGUGGAGAACUGAAUAAAGUUGCCAAUGAGAGAGGGGUCUAAUGAAUUGAUGAUCCAACCUUUGACAAUGGCAUUAUCCGUGCGCCACUUGCUAAAGCUUGUAUCGAUCGGUGGUGGAGGAGGGAUAUCACCAUUCAAGUAACCAAGAUUAUCUCUUCCUGCUAUAUUCAUCUCCAUAACUUGAGACCAUAGGGCAUAAUUGGAGCCAUCCAAUUUGAUGCCGAUUUGGGGUGAGGGGUCGGAUGUUUGGGUUGGUGCUGAUGAUUUGUUCAAGACUUCAACCAUCUUUGUUGUGAACUCUAGAAGAAGGGUGUUUGUUUCAGUUGGCAGGGGAUUAUUGGUUUCGGGUGGUAGGAGGUUGGGCAUCUCACCAUCAACGGUGCCUUCCAUGUGUUUGAGUAAUUGCUCAAGAGAGCUCGGCUAACACAAGACAGGGGCUACUGCAUCGAGCACCAUGCUCUGAUACCAUGAAGAAAUGUAUUCUUUUAUUUCCAGUAAUUAUUUACAAUAGACGGUGUAGUUUAAAUUGGAGAAGUUUAAAACCUAGAUGGUGUAGUUUAAAUAGGAGAAGUUUAAAACCUAUUUUUGGACUAUACAAUUCUUGAAGAUUUUAUUUCCUUGACAGAAAAAAUUACUACCUAAGAUGGAUGAUUUUCUUGCCAUAUGAUUCUAUUUCCUUAUAUAGCAGCU
rnacentral:lncRNA from 1 species